UUUACCUACGGGAGGCAGCAGUGGGGAAUAUUGCACAAUGGGGGAAACCCUGAUGCAGCGACGCCGCGUGAGUGAAGAAGUAUCUCGGUACGUAAAGCUCUAUCAGCAGGGAAGAAAAAAAGUCUUUGGCUUUGGACGGUACCUGACUAAGAAGCCCCGGCUAACUACGUGCCAGCAGCCGCGGUAAUACGUAGGGGGCAAGCGUUAUCCGGAUUUACUGGGUGUAAAGGGUGAGUAGGCGGCUGGGCAAGUCAUAUGUGAAAUACCGGGGCUCAACUUCGGGGCUGCAUAAGAAACUGUCCAGC
rnacentral:rRNA from 1 species